GUCAGCAGUCAUCCCUGAAGUUUUACAUUAAAAUCUUUACUUGUGUUGUGAACUUUGGUAAGAAGCAGAAACUUUUGCGUUGCCAUGGAUACAUGAGUGUUAAAUUCUGUCCAUGUUUCCAUUUUGGGAAAUUCAGUCCAGUUCCAGAAUGUGGAGGAAUUUAGUCUCACAAUCACAGACAACAAAUAUUAUCUGAAAGUGGGGUUAUUGUUGUUUAUCAGCACAAUACAAAAAGAUUAAUGUUAGAAAUAUUCCAGUUAAGACUCUAGAAUAUCAUGAUUUAUGUAAAUUUACCUCAAUAAUAUGAAUGUUCAGGUUAAGAUUGUGCAGUGAUAUUUAUUAUGUAAGUUUAGCUGAUUAAAGUUUAUUACUCUGCACUAAAAUAUUAUUUAAAUUGACACCAUUAUUAUAAUAUUUAGGGUCAGACCCUACAGUAUUGAGAUUAAGAAAUCAAAUAUUCUAUAAAAUGUAAAUACACUGAACUCAUUUGGAUAUAUUUAAGUGAGACUCUACAAUAUUAUUUGACACAAAUCUAUCUAAAUCAAAAUUUUAAUAAUUUUCAUGCCAAACAUUUACUGGACUGAUUUAAAUAUUAAAAUCACUCCUUUCUAAUCCUCUGCUGUACGUUCAAACCUGAGGCCUUAAAUAGAAACACACAAGUAUCUGAUGGAAGGAACUUCUGCAGAGUCCUGGUUCCAGAACAUGAUGAUAGAAUUAUAGACAAACUUUAACAAAAGCUGCCUGAGAGUUUACAGGUUUUUAUGUUAAAUUUCUUCAUUAAUUUAAUGAGAGUUAUCAGCAAAAAUCAAGUGUUCAUUUGAUGAACUUCAUUUCCUAAAACAUCCAGAAUUGGAGCUCAUAUCUUUGGCUGCUGUAAAGUUUCUGCUCCUUCAAAGUUCACAACACAAUGAAUGAAUUCCUAAAACACUCUCAAUGCUGGAGAGCGUUUGUAAUGCUGAAGCAGUGAUCAGUUUUUCUGUUUCUUCUCUGGAGAUGCACAAUGAGGGACGUCUGCAGAGACUGAGAAAGAGUCUCACCACAUCCUGACAUGAGGAAAAAGACUUUAUUGAAGACUACAAUGAGAAAAACUAUCAGACAGCAGACUGCUGCAUUCAAGUCUGUAGCUGCUGAAUUCAUGGAUGAAUCAUCUGGCACUAGAGAGGAAGACCAUCAAACAUCCACGUCAGCUGAUGGAGGUCCGAGAGUCUCACCAAACAACCAACCUACAGAGUGAAGACCUCAAAUCUGAUUGGACGGCCUCCUAUUCAGCCACAUGUGUGAACAAAUGCCUCUAAGUUGAUUUGUUUUCUAAAAUAAAUCUAGUUUGAGUCCUAA
ensembl:lncRNA